GGGGUUGUGGCUCAGUGGUAGAGUGCUUGCCUUGCAUGCAUGAGGCACUGGGUUCGAUUUCUAGUACCA
rnacentral:tRNA from 1 species